GGAGGAUUGCAGCUCAGUGGUAGAGCACCUGCUUUUCAUGCUGUACAUGUCAGGUUCAGCCCCUGACAUCUCCA